AUAUAAUUACAGUCAGAGCUGUGACACCAAGAGCUCUUAACGUUAUGACCAAAGAUUGAAGUUCUCCAUGGGAUACCAUAGUCACUUAGUAGGGAUAAGCUUUCCUUAAUAGAUACAAAA
rnacentral:snoRNA from 1 species